rnacentral:lncRNA from 1 species
CCUAGCUUUGGUUCCAAAGUUUCCAUGUCAAUAUUUAUCAGGGUAUGUGAGUCCACGCAAGGUUUAUAUGCUGAAGCCCUAACUCCUGAUGUGACUGUACUGGAGAUACUGUCUUUAAAGAGGUGAGUAAAGUUAAAUGAGGUCAUAAGGGUGGAGUCCUGAUCUCAUAGAACUGGUACCCUUAUCAGAAGAGGAAGACUUACACCAGAACUCUCUCUCUCCAUGAAGUGAGGCUACAACAUGAAGACAGGUGUUUGCAAACCACGAUGAGAGCUGUCACCAGAACCCAACCAUGCUGGCAUCUGAUCUCAGACUUCCAAUCUCCAGAACUAGACACCACAAACAUUUGUGCAGAUUGCAUACUGGACAAGAAAACCCAGUUGAGGGGAUACGGUGGCAGAAAUCCAGUCUUGUACAAGUAACCAAGCCAUGUUUCAUGGUGUAGGAAGGCAUUCAGCCGGAGAAAGGAUGAGAGUCUACAUGGAGAAGAAGCCAAGCAGCUCUGCUGACAGCCAGCACCAAAGCCCUGGACACAUUAGGAAGACUAAUUUGGGCCUUCUCACCCAGUUCAUCAUAGCUGCAUGAAUAAGCUCAGAUACAAGAAUUUCAACAAACUCCAAGCGUAAAAAGCAUGAAGAAAAUAACUCAAGACCACUGUCAUCAAAUUGCUCAAAACCUAUGAUAAAGAGAAAAAUCUUAAAAGCAGCCAGAGGAAAAAAAGACAUUUUACAUAUAGAGGAACAAAGAUUGGGUGACAGCAAAUUUCUUAAUAUAAAUAGUGGGGAAUGGAGUGGAAUAACAUAUGUAAAAGCACUAAAAGGAAAAAAAAU